GACGAACGCUGGCGGCGUGCCUAAUACAUGCAAGUAGAACGCACAGUUUAUACCGUAGCUUGCUACACCAUAGACUGUGAGUUGCGAACGGGUGAGUAACGCGUAGGUAACCUGCCUGGUAGCGGGGGAUAACUAUUGGAAACGAUAGCUAAUACCGCAUAAUAUUAAUUAUUGCAUGAUAAUUAAUUGAAAGGUGCAAUUGCACCACUACCAGAUGGACCUGCGUUGUAUUAGCUAGUAGGUGAGGUAACGGCUCACCUAGGCGACGAUACAUAGCCGACCUGAGAGGGUGAUCGGCCACACUGGGACUGAGACACGGCCCAGACUCCCACGGGAGGCAGCAGUAGGGAAUCUUCGGCAAUGGACGAAAGUCUGACCGAGCAACGCCGCGUGAGUGAAGAAGGGUUUCGGAUCGUAAAGCUCUGUUGUAAGAGAAGAACGGGUGUGAGAGUGGAAAGUUCACACUGUGACGGUAUCUUACCAGAAAGGGACGGCUAACUACGUG
rnacentral:rRNA from 1 species